GACUCGGUGGUGUAGUUGGUUAUCACUUCUGUCUAACAAGUAGGCGUUGCCGAAAGUUCACAGGCGGUCCUCAGUUCGAGUCUGGGUCGAGUCA